AGUGAAGUGCCUGAAAAAAAGGAAUAUCUUGAUAGGGUAGAUUAUGUGAAUUUCACCUUCAUUA
rnacentral:tRNA from 1 species